GGCCGCGUGGCGCAAUGGAUAACGCGUCUGCCUACGGAGCAGAAGAUUGCAGGUUCGANUUUUGCAAAGGCUU
rfam:Haemonchus placei strain MHpl1 genome assembly, scaffold: HPLM_scaffold0002424